CGGGGCGUGGCGCAGCCUGGUAGCGCACUACAAUGGGGUUGUAGGGGUCGGAGGUUCGAAUCCUCUCGCCCCGACCA
rnacentral:tRNA from 1 species